GCAAAGCGCCGAGCGGCUCGGGCGGCGGAAGUGGAUUUGGCCGGCCCUUAGCCAAGGUGGAUCCUCCUACAUCGGAGAAGGCUGUCGCACAGGGCGCAGGGAGGCGACCGCGGCCUCACUCCGGCGGCAUUCCCUCGGCUCCCGGCGGCGGCGCCAUGGACGAGGCGGUGGGCGACCUGAAGCAAGCGCUUCCCUGUGUUGCCGAAUCGCCCGCGGUCCAUGUGGAGGUUCUGCAGCGCAGCGGAAGCACUGCAAAAAAAGAAGAUAUAAAGUCGAGUGUUUACAGGCUGCUCAACCGGCAUAAUAUUGUGUUUGGAGAUUACGUCUGGACUGAGUUUGAUGAUCCUUUUCUAAGCAGAAAUGUUCAGUCAGUGUCUAUUGUUGACACAGAACUAAAGGCUAAAGACCCUCAGCCCAUUGAUCUGAGUGCAUGCACCAUUGCACUUCACAUCUUCCAGCUGAAUGAAGAAGGCCCCAGCAGUGAGAAUUUGGAUGAAGAAACAGAAAAUAUAAUUGCAGCAAGUCACUGGGUUCUGCCUGCAGCUGAAUUUCAUGGACUUUGGGAUAGCCUCGUGUAUGAUGUGGAGGUCAAAUCACAUCUCCUUGAUUAUGUGAUGACCACCGUACUCUUCUCAGACAAGAACGUGGACAGCAACCUCAUCACCUGGAACCGGGUGGUGCUGCUGCACGGUCCUCCGGGUACUGGAAAAACAUCCCUUUGUAAGGCAUUAGCCCAAAAACUGACCAUCAGACUGUCGAGCAGGUACCGGUAUGGCCAGUUGAUUGAAAUAAACAGCCACAGCCUAUUUUCUAAGUGGUUUUCAGAAUACUUUGGUUCCAGAGUGGCAAAUUGGUAACUAAGAUGUUCCAGAAGAUUCAGGACUUGAUUGAUGAUAAGGAAGCUUUGGUGUUUGUUCUGAUUGAUGAGGUGGAGAGUCUCACAGCUGCUCGAAAUGCUUGCAGGGCAGGCGCAGAGCCAUCAGAUGCUAUCCGAGUAGUCAAUGCUGUGUUGACUCAGAUUGACCAGAUUAAAAGGCAUUCCAAUGUGGUGAUUCUGACCACUUCCAACAUCACUGAGAAGAUUGAUGUGGCUUUCGUGGAUAGAGCUGACAUCAAGCAAUACAUUGGCCCCCCCUCUGCAGCAGCCAUCUUCAAAAUCUACCUGUCUUGUUUAGAAGAACUGAUGAAGUGCCAGAUCAUAUAUCCUCGUCAGCAGCUGUUGACCCUUCGGGAGCUGGAAAUGAUUGGCUUCAUUGAAAAUAAUGUGUCAAAGUUGAGCCUCCUUUUGAGUGAAAUUUCAAGGAAGAGUGAGGGCCUCAGUGGCCGGGUCUUGAGGAAACUUCCUUUCCUGGCUCAUGCUCUCUACAUCCAGGCCCCCAGCGUCACCAUCGAGGGUUUCCUCCAGGCCCUAUCUCUGGCAGUGGACAAACAGUUUGAGGAGAAAAAGAAACUUUCAGCUUAUGUUUGAUCCCAGACAUCCAUAUCUAUGGCUUUCAAUGGACAAGUAGGAGGUGAUACCGUCUACCUCACAGUGUGCAUCAGAAAUGACUCUAAGCCAUGUAGAUCUGCAGGCCAGACAGAUGGGUGUACAAUCUUUGUCAAAAGGACUAUGUGUUAUUUUACAGUGCAUAUCUAAAGGCAAAAAAGACUGCUUGUCUUUUUCACUGUUUUUAAAAGAUAAUUCCAGUCUGUUUGCAUCUAUGUAAAGCCCCAUCCUGACUCAAGCCUGUCAGACACAAGAUGUUAGAAUUUGUUUAAAAUAAAGGGAGAUCAAAACAGCUGUCAUAGAACAAGGGGGAUGCUAACUAAUGCAGUUACAGCAUUGAAAGAUGGAUUCUUUGCUCAGGCUAGAAGGGAGCAGUUGCUUUCUGGCUUGAGUCGGCUUUGGUUAGCACAGGAUGCUAUGUGAUGGGUGAGAAAGACGUGUUGCUGUGAUACGGAAACUGAGAGGGGACUGCAGGUAAGAAGAUGAAGAGUUCUUUGGUAGUGCACAGGAGCAGUGUGUGCUUUCUAUGGUCACGUCAAUCAGGCAAUGUGUUUUGUUUCUCCAGUCAUUUUACUUGUAUUUCAAGUGAAAAUUCUUGUUACGAAAUAUAAAAUAAGUCAAUAUGUGUUGCACCUCACAGAAUAUCAUGUUUUAUGUCAUCUUCUGCCAAACGUAGUUUGGCACUAAUACUUUAUACAUGAAUACACUUUUAAAUGGAAUGCUGCCUUUGUCACAGAACGUUUUGUAAUAUUAAACUUGUUUUCAGAA